rnacentral:tRNA from 1 species
AAAGGUAUAGCUUAGUGGUAGAGUGUGUGCUUAGUGAGCACAAGGUCCUGGGUUCAAUCCCUAGUAUCUCCA